UACGGAGGGUGCGAGCGUUGUCCGGAAUCACUGGGCGUAAAGGGCGCGUAGGCGGUCUGCUAAGCGUGCGGUGAAAGCCUGGGGCUCAACCCCAGGUCUGCCGUGCGAACUGGUGGACUAGAGCACUGUAGAGGCAGGUGGAAUUCCCGGUGUAGUGGUGAAAUGCGUAGAUAUCGGGAGGAACACCAGUGGCGAAGGCGACUUCCUGGCCUGUUCUUGACGCUGAGGCGCGAAAGCUAGGGGAGCAAACGGG
rnacentral:rRNA from 1 species